UGAUGAGUAUGAAGUGUCCCUCCUUGU
rnacentral:piRNA from 1 species